GACGAACGCUGGCGGCGUGCUUAACACAUGCAAGUCGUGCGGUAAGGCCCUUUCGGGGGUACACGAGCGGCGAACGGGUGAGUAACACGUGAGCAACCUGCCCUUCACUUUGGGAUAACUGCCGGAAACGGUGGCUAAUACCGGAUAUGACUUCCUCACGCAUGUGGGGUGGUGGAAAGCCUUCGGGUGGGGGGGGAUGGGCUCGCGGUCUAUCAGCUUGUUGGUGGGGGGAUGGCCUACCAAGGCUUUGACGGGUAGCCGGCCUGAGAGGGUGACCGGCCACACUGGGACUGAGAAACGGCCCAGACUCCUACGGGAGGCAGCAGUGGGGAAUAUUGGACAAUGGGCGAAAGCCUGAUCCAGCAACGCCGCGUGAGGGAUGACGGCCUUCGGGUUGUAAACCUCUUUCGCCUGCGACGAAGCGAGAGUGACGGUAGCAGGUAAAGAAGCACCGGCCAACUACGUG
rnacentral:rRNA from 1 species